rnacentral:rRNA from 1 species
GACGAACGCUGGCGGCGUGCUUAACACAUGCAAGUCGAACGAAGUGGCGAACGGGUGAGUCAUACGUGAGUAACCUGCCCUCCUUUUUGGGAUAAGCCUUGGCAACGGGGUCUAAUACCGAAUAAUGGGGGAUGGGCUCGCGGCCUAUCCGCUUGUUGGGGGGGUGAUGGCCUAGCAAGGCAGUGACGGGUAGCCGGCCUGAGGGGGUGACCGGGCACAUUGGGACAGGGAUCCGGACCAGAAAACUACGGGAGGCAGCAGGGGGGGAAAUGGCAAAAUGGGCGAAAGCCGGAUGCAGCGGCGCCGCGGGGGGGAUGAAGGCUUUCGGGUUGUAAACCUCGUUCGCUAUCGAAAGGGUAGGUGGAGAAGAAGCGCCGGCUAACUACGGGCCAGCAGCCGCGGUAAUUC